rnacentral:lncRNA from 1 species
UUGUAACUAUUCUUUGGGAUUCACUUGUGGAAAAAUGAAAAAAAAAUGAGGGUUUAGUGUUGGCUGAACAGCAUAAUUCCAUCUAUGUAUAAAUAGAAAUAUAAAGGGAAACAAGCAUAGAAGAAAAUGUAUCAGAACAUUUGCAGUGAUCUUAUGAACUAUGUUUUCUGAAUUUUACGUAGUAGAUAGUUUUUAGUUUUUUAAUCAGAAAAGAAACUUCACAUUUGCUUGUAUUUUGAAAUGGCUUUCUCAAAUUGCUAGGAGUUAGUAGCACUUUCAGCUAUAAAGGUCAAGAUUGUUUUGGUAAAAAUAAUAAAUCUAUUGCCCUGGACUCAGCAAAAUUUUUAAAUUUUCAUCUCCUUUCACUAUUUUUACCCAACACUGUUAUUGUCAAAGAGUCGGGUAAGAGUUGAGAAAAGGUACAGGCAUAAUAAAAAUUGAGUAGAAUUAUUUUAAUUGAAAGUCAAUAUUCCAGACCUUAUUAUUGCCAUUAAAAAAAGAAGUCUGGUACAGUGGCACAUGCCAUUAAUCUCAGUACUUGGGCAGAGUCAGGCAUAUCUGUGUGAAUGGUAGCCAAUCUGGUCUACAUAUUGAGUUGUCUGGCAGAGGUACAUAGUAAAAACCUGUUUCAAAAAAUUUAUUGAAUUUUUUGUGAAUUAAAUAGUUUGAGGGUGUAAAUAUGCUGCUCAUCAAUAUUCUAAAGGGCGUGUUUUUCAUUUUCUGUGACACUAAGAUACUCUACAUUAUUGAUGCUUGUUGUGACUUGGCCUAUUAACAUGGUAAUUAGAGUGCAACAUUUAUUGGUAUUAUUGGAUUAUACUUUCCUCUUUUCCCACAGUAAUUAUAGGAGUGUCUGUUUUUAUACUCUCUACCCUCAAAAAAAAAAAAAAAACAGGUAGUGUAUCACUGUGGUUGUCAUCACUAAUCACAGAAGCUUAGUUUAUAGCAGGGCUUUUAAAUGAGAACACUUUACAGUUUUAAAUGAAACAAUAUUUCUAUGGAUGUUUUUGUGCAUAUAUGUUUAUGCACCAAGUGAAUGACUAGUGCCCGAGGAAGCAAGGAGAAGGUAUCUGAUCCCCUGGGACUAUAGUUAAAGGUGCCUGUGACCAUCCACGUGAGUGUUGAGAAUCAGGCUAAGCUCCUCUGGAGCCCCAGCCAGUGCUUACUCCUAACCACGGAGCGCCUCUCCUGCCCAGCCAAGGAGAAUGUUUCCAAAUACAGCAUAAACUAUUAUUUGCAGUAACAUGUCACUGUGGGUAAAUAUCUUUUUAAAUUUUCUUUUUUUCUCACUCACUUAUUCAUAUUAUAAUAGGCCCUGUCUUUACAACAUUUUAUGCUUAUCCUAUGUCUAACCUUUACUACAGCACAUGUCAGAAUUUUACAGCAGUCUAACAGUUGAAAAGAAAUACAUGUGAAGUGCCAGGAGGUAACAGUCUACUUAGUUCUAGUGUCCAUAUUUGUUACUUUUCUUUAUUGAACUUAAAGUCCUUAUCCUGAUUUGUUUGUUUUAGUUUUAUAAGUCAGUCUCUCUGUAGAGCCUUGGCUAUUCUGGAGCUCUCUGUGUAGACUAGUCUGGCCUUGAACACAGAUCCACCUGCCUCUGCUUCCUGAGUGCUGGGAUUAAGUGGUGUGCUACCACGCCUGACUUGUUUUGGUUUUUACUUUAUGAGUGUGGUGUUUUGCCUGUAUAUGUCUGUGCUUUGGGUGCCUGAUGCUGGAGCUGCAGACAGUAGUCAGACAUCAUGUGGGUGCUGGAAAUUGAACCUGACUUGAGUCCUCUAAAAGAGCAGCUAGCAUUCUUAACUUUCGAGCCAUCUUUCCAACCCUUGAAUUUCUUUUCAUUUUUAGAUUUAGCUUGGUGUAUAUAUGUUACUCACAAAAAAUAAAUCCGCAUAUUUUGAAGUCUUUGAUUUAUAUUUCACAGUUGGCAAAACUGGCCACUUUUCUUGUUUUAGAAACAUGAAACCUAGCCAACACAUCUGUAAAGGUAGUAGAAACAUUUUUUGUGACAUAGUGUUUAAAAAUCAUUUGUUUCAUAUAUUUGAGAUAUUGAAACGCAUUAAGGUUUUUAUAAAUAGAUACCAGUGUUUUUAUGCUGCAACCAGUUUCUGCUACCAGUCAGUAUCUGAAAAAAUAAUAUACCA